rfam:Glomerella graminicola M1.001 genomic scaffold supercont1.50, whole genome shotgun sequence.
GAACCUGAUGAUCAUUUUUUCGUACAAUGUACGGUUGGAAUUACCGGCUGAAACUUGCUGUUGAAAAAAACUGGCUGUUUCUGACU